rnacentral:rRNA from 1 species
UACGGAGGGGGCCAGCGUUGUUCGGAAUCAUUGGGUGUAAAGGGCGCGUAGGCGGCCGAUCAAGUCGGAGGUGAAAUCCCUCGGCUCAACUGAGGAAUUGCCUCCGAUACUGUUCGGCUUGAGUCCUGGAGAGGGUAGUGGAAUUCCCAGUGUAGCGGUGAAAUGCGUAGAGACUGGGAAGAACACCAGUGGCGAAGGCGGCUACCUGGACAGGUACUGACGCUGAAGCGCGAAAGCUAGGGGAGCAAACAGG